GUAAGAAGAAGGGAGGUGACAUCAUGUGUCAAAGGAUGAGAGAAGAUAUCAGGGGCAUUUAGAUUUGGCUGAAGAAUGUUAAUUCUACCGGGUUUUUACUGAGGGUUUCAUUGUACAUCUGUGAAAUUGGAGAGAUGCAGACAGUAAACAAAUACCAAGGAAGGAGCUGAGCCAGAAGCCAGAACCUCUAAACUAGAAUUCAGUAAUAAGCUAUCUGUAUCAUUUCAAUUACUUCAGAGGCGAUAUUUUCAGCUGCUAAUUGCGGAGGAAAGAGAGCACCCUGUUAUCUGGCCAGCAGAACUGUAUCCAGCUCCUUUUUUGGAUUUUGAGAUUCCACCAAGCAUUAGAUGAAAUUAAGCAAAUGAAAGCCUAGCAAGAAAUGUGCAUGCCAACAAUGCAGAAAGUUAAGAUUCUCAGGAUACUGAAUUUGAUGUGCAUCAGUUUAUUUGUGUGGCUCUGCAAUGCAGAUGAGCAGCAAGGAACUAUAUCCUAAUGAAUCAUCACGUACAGAGCUAAAAAAUAAAUAAAUGAAAAGUUCCAGAAAACCCAUUGUUAUUACCUAUUUGAAAAACAACAACAAGGCAUUGAAAAUAUUGAACAAUGGAUAGUGAACAAUUUGUAACUGUGGCCUUGUUGCAGAAUGAUAAAUGACAAUCUAGGAAGAAACAUCAUUGCUUGGGUAGGAGUGGUAUCUCAAUGGCAGAGCAUAUUCUUUACAUGCAGAAUGUUCAAUUGUGUCACCUCUGGGGAGGGGAGGUGGGAAGGCAUUGCUUGAUAAAACUGUACAUGAUGGACCAAGGGCCUGAUUCAGUAGAAGGCAGCUUUCUAUAUUACAAAUCAUUUGCAAAGCCCAACUGAUUUAAAUCUCACUGAAAUUAAUCUGCUCCAAGCCACCUACGUACGUGGUUUUAGGCAUGAUUUCUGUGCAAA